rnacentral:rRNA from 1 species
UACAGAGGUCUCAAGCGUUGUUCGGAUUCAUUGGGCGUAAAGGGUGUGUAGGUGGCGCCGUAAGUCGGGUGUGAAAUUUCGGAGCUUAACUCCGAAACUGCAUUCGAUACUGCGGUGCUUGAGGACUGGAGAGGAGACUGGAAUUCAUGGUGUAGCAGUGAAAUGCGUAGAUAUCGUAAGGAAGACCAGUGGCGAAGGCGGGUCUCUGGACAGUUCCUGACGCUGAGGCACGAAGGCCAGGGGGAGCAAACGGGG